UCUGAUAAGUUAUCUCUUUGGUCACAGUCACCUGGCAGGAGAAAGGCUUCCAAGGUCUAACUAAGCUUGUUAUCCUAGCUAAUCACUAUGACCUGCCAGGUAUAUACUGUUUGCCUUUUAUAUCUUUCUUUAGGGUAAACAAUGGCAGCCAUAAAGGAAGACAAGAAAAGUGAUUCAAAGUGACCCAUUUUCUAAGCUGCCACAGAUGAAAGUGGAAAGUAACUCUCAUUAAAUAGUUACCAACAGAGAGAAAAGCAGACAGCCCUGUGUUGUUAGAAACUGAGGAAAGAUCCCAUCUUUUUGGACUUAGAUAUACCAAGGUUGGAUUCCCAGCUCAGCCACUUACGAGGCUACAGGUGUAAAACUGAAAGUAACUGCUGAUGGUUCCUUCGAAUUCUGGAGAGGAGAUGCUAGUCAGCAAGAAGAAGGAAGAGAACAAACCCAGAACCUGCACCCCCCACACCCUCAUCCCCACCAAAGAUUUCUGAUCAUGACUCAAGUUCUAUUUCGAAGACUGAAACUUCAAUUUCGACUCAACAGAACUUGUCAUUAUAAUUGAAGGUGACAUUGUCCUCAUAGAUCCAUUUUGAUCUCAAGAUCCCAUUGGAGGGAGAGAACUUCAGACUUGCUAAUGAAAGGCUGAAAUGCAGAUGUAGAUGAGGAAAAAUGGAUUCCUGAAUGAUCCUGUGGCUUGAGAGCUCAUCUCGCUCAAUUCUGUUACGUGAGAAUGAAGAAAACUUCUGUUACAUUUGGUUAAGGUGAUCAUACGAGUCUUAAACUGUUUUCCAGGUAUUCCACCCAGAAAGAUGCUAAGGGAUCUACCAUUGAAAAC